rnacentral:rRNA from 1 species
CCAGCAGCUGCGGUAAUUCCGGCUCCAUUAGUGUAACUUAGCGUUGUUGCGGUUGAAAGGCUCGUAGUCGGAAGUUGGUGGGUUUUUUCGCUCGGUCUGCCGAUUGGUGUGAACGAGGAAAGACCAUCUUUGUUCGUACGCGUAGGUUUGUACUUAAUUGGGCGAGCCUAAUCCGCUGCGGACUGUAUACUGUGAACAAAUCAGAGCGCUUAAAGCGGGCCUAUGCUUGAAUGUGUUAGCAUGGCAUAUUAAAAAAUGGCGGUGAUCAAUUUAUCGGGGGGUGAGAUCUGCAAUGAUCAAUGGGAGUGCGCGAGGCUGUCGGUACUGUUGGGCGAGCGGUGAAAUGUGUCGACCCUAGCAAGACCAUCGGAGGCAAAGGCUGUCAGCUAGCUCAUUUUCAUCGAUCAAGAACGAAAGU